rnacentral:lncRNA from 1 species
GAGGACAAAAGUACAAAAGAUCGGAUCCAAACAAGCACUCUUAACAAAGGAGCAAGAGUGACGGGGAUCCGAUAAAAAGCCCGAGGGCGCCAGCAAGAACACAAAAGCUAUGAAGCGAACAAACAAGCCGUAACAACAGGAACCCGUAGCCUCCCCAUCCCUCAAGCCCUCAAAGCUGAAAGCGGAGAACGGAGGAGGAAGGAAGCUGUAACUACAAGAACAAGAGCAGACCGAAUCACCAGCAACCUAAGGAGGAAUAGCUACAGAUGAAAAGAUCAUGGGGUGGAAUCCCCACCCCCUUUGCAGUCUUCU